UCAUUUCGUACAUGCAACAAGAUUUUACAUGUAUCUUAUACGAAUCAAACUGCUUCUAAAAUAGCAGAAGCAUAUUCCUGAAGACUUUAACAAAAAUAAUCUUUAGAGAACCUCUGGACUAUUGAUGGGCUCACCCAGGCCGUACACAACGCUUCUAUUUCCAGGCCAUGAAUCUUGUUUUACGACCAUUGCUUCCUUACUUUUAAGAGUUUUGCCCAUAAAAUGAUGGUGGGUGAAUUUCCAACCUACAAGAACGAACUUUCAUGUGACAUGGCAAACGGAAAAAAAAAAAAAAAAUACUCACUCCUGUAUAAUUGAUAUACAACAAACACAUUUAUUGUACAUUCAAUAGACAUGCUUAAAUACUCACAAGUUGUAAAAAUGCAGCAAUUUCAAACCAAUAUUGCAAAGUACAGUGUUCAGAACAUAAAAGAGGAACACAUAAUACAAAACUUAACAGAAGAAAUCUCAAAUAGACAUUUUAUCGAACAUCUAGAAAUAUUGCUUGGCCAAAGUGGUCAUAUAAUUCAGAAAAUGUUUAUAUUUGAAUAUGCGUAAAUCAAAACUCCAAAGAAGAUAUUCUAUAACUCACUUCAAAAGCCAUGUCAAAUUGGUCACACGAUUUCUCCGCAAUUUGGGUACACCUUAUAAACUGCAGGCUACCUUGAAUGCCCAUUGAAAACAUUUAACCAAUAUCAAAAAAGAAAAAAAAGAAAACUUGAUACUGCAAAAACGAAAAGAAAGAAAAGGGGCUUUAUGCAGAAUACAAAUGAAGAUCCGAGGAAAGGGUACCAUUAUGAGAUAUAAUUUACAAAUGGCUACAAAAUUGCCCGAAGAAUAGAUGUUGACAAAACCUAAAUCGACGGCCGGAAGAACAACGGUGAGAGAGGGAGAAUUUUUUACAGGGAUGAACGC
rnacentral:lncRNA from 1 species